CUGCAUGUAGAAAUGUCUGCUCCUCACUCUUACAGGGACAGAAACUUGCUGUAUUUAAAAAGAAAUUUUUAGAGCUGCCCAUCUUAAAAGUUGUAUAACUGUUAUAUAUUUGCUACUAAA